rnacentral:tRNA from 2 species
GAGAGCGUAGCUCAGCUGGUAGAGCAACUGACUUUUAAUCAGUAGGUCCCGGGUUCGAACCCCGGCGCUCUCA